AUACGCAAAAAGCUACCACUAUGUCUCCACGAAGCUGAGUAUUUUCCUUGGAGUAGCUUUUUAUUUGGACAUAUGGAAUGAAACUUACUUAAUAUUCUGCAGAGAUCUUCCUGGUGUUUCCAAAAUGAAGUGACUUCUGCCUCCUGCCAUGAUUCUGAGGCCUCCCCAGCCAUGCGGAACUGUAAGUCCAAUUAAACCUCUUUUCUUCCCAGUCUCAGGUAUGUCUUUAUCAGCAUCAUGAAAACAGACUAAUACAGUAAGUUGAUACCAGUACAGUGGGGCAUUGCCGAAAAGAUACCUGAAAAUGUGGAAGUGACUUUGGAACUGGGUAACAGGCAGAGAUUGGAACAGUUUGGAGGGCUCAGAAGAAGAUAGGAAGAUAAGGGAGAGUUUGAAACUUCCUAGAGACUUGUUGAAUGGCUUUGCUCAAAAUGCUGAUAGUGAUAUGGACAAUAAUGUACAGACUGAGGUGGUCUCAGAUGGAGAUGAGGAACUUGUUGGGACCUGGAGCAAAGGUGACUUGUUAUGUUUUAGCAAAGAGACUGGCAGCAUUUUGCCCCUGCCCUAGAGAUUUGUGGAACUUUGAACUUGAGAAAGAUGAUUUAGGGUAUCUGGCAGAAGAAAUUUCUAAGCAGCAAAGCAUUC
rnacentral:lncRNA from 1 species